GAGGAGAAAAACAGAGCAGCCGCCGCACAUUUGAGAUAGAGCUUCCUGUGUGGGAUUUAGCCUAUGUGAGAGAGGCUUGUAACUCCAGAAAUCUGAGAAAUAAAUCCUCAAAUUGUUCCCAGCCUUACUAUUGUCGAGGUAUGCUGUUUGUCCUUGCAAAUCUCGUUUUUCUGCCGUACUAGUUUUGUCCCUGUGAUUCCUUGGCUAUAAUGGGGUUUCCUUGAUGGAAAAUCAUGUCUAAAUUCAUGUGCAUCCAUCCCUAGCUUUGAAUCUGGUUGUUAUUCAUUUAUUCAUGGGUUCUUGAGGAUGGCGCAGGAGUUUAACUUUUGUGAUUUAUUUUGUGCGAGUUCAUACUGAGUUCUUCCCCUGUUUUUGAUUCAAUUUGAGGUCGCAGUAGUUUCUAGGGAAGUUCUUGUAUGCGUGGUGGAAGGGAAGAGCACCUGCUGUUCUCUGUCUCGCCGCCGGGAGCGACCGUCUUAGGAUUCAGUUUAUCCUCUUCUAGCUGUUGUGUGACUUCCAAAUAGUAGAAUUGCUUUGUGCAAUUUUGCAGAGGUAUAAUCGUGGUUUUCAGUUGUUGGUAGUCUUGCAGCUCUAUGCGCUACAGGUGACUAGAGUUCCUGACAAGUGAAAUCAGCUCCAGGCAGUGUAGUUCUUCUCCAUUGAAAAAGUUUCUGCUAGUACGUGCACGUUAAGUACUAGUGUCUUGUGCUAGUGCGUGUUACUCUUUUGGGUUAAGUAGCUCCCAUUUGAUUAGCCUAUAACCUUGCCGUGUAACCUCUUGGUCUAAUUAAGCACUAAUUUUUCCAGUACACUUUUCCGGUGCUUAUUAUUCUUUGAGCUCUCAAGUCAAGAUUUGAGUAUUGUUGGACUAGUUCCAGUCUGUUUUGACAGGCAUAUUUUGUUUCCGCUGCGUAUUCCUCUAUUCCGAGCAUCAUAGUUUUUCCGUAACUAUCAUGCAAAAUUGAAGAGGUUAAAUUUUUCAAGGUCGUCAUUCAACCCCCCUUCUGACUCCCGGCAUUCGAUCCUACAAUUGGCAUCAGAGCCCGGUCGGCUCAUCUGUAGCCUUAAUCAGCUCUUGAGCCAUGGAGUCAUUUGCGAACCCGUUGCGUCCUCCGCUGUUCUCUGGGAGUGACUGGCCGUUUUGGAAGUCUCGGAUGAAAACAUUUCUUGAAGCUCAAAGCUAUGCAAUAUGGCAAAUUGUUGUGCGAGAUUUUGCAAUACCUGCUCGUGUUGGUCCUGAGAAUAUAGUUGAUGUUGAAAAUAAUUCCAAAGCUAUUAACAUUCUCUUGUCAGGUUUGGAUAGGAGAGAGCAUGAGCGUGUUGCACACCUAGACACAGCCCACAAAAUUUGGUCCACUCUCAUCACUUACCACGAGGGCACUAGUGAGAUUAAGACAGCUCGUCAGGACAUUUACAAAGCCGAGUACAACAAAUUUGAGCAGUUACCUAGUGAGUCUCUAGAGGACAUGUUUGGUAGGUUUGAGGUCAUAGUUGGGAAAUUGAGGGGUGUUGGGGUUGUGUACACUGAGUCUGAGAAAGCUAGACACAUCCUAAACUCUCUUGACCCAAUCUAUGAGAUGAGAAAGAUCGCGAUUCAAGAGUCCCAUAAACCUGAUGAGCUCACUGUAGACAUGUUGUUCUCCAAGCUUAAAACUCACCAAAUAGCCAGUGAAGGUAGAAACCCACCUAGGAACAGGACUCUUGCACUAGUUGGUAGUGAAUGCCAAACUGCACAUGGUCCCUCUAGUGUUUCUGAGUCUGGCAGUGGUCUUUCUUCUGGUUUUUCAUUUGCUUGUUUGGUUUCAGUCUCUGAUGAACAACUUGAAUCUUUGCCUGAGGAUGAUCUUGCUCUUUUUGUCCGCCGUUUUUCCUGAGCUUAUAAAAACGUGAGAGAAAGGAAAGGCAAACACACAAAAAUCUGUUUUGAGUGUGGUGUGCAGGGGCACUACAGGUCUGAUUGUCCAAAUUUCAAAGAUUAUGGUGAAAAUAGUGGUGGCAAGAACAACUAUAGCAAGAACAAGUCGUUCUCUCGUCAUGAAACCAAGUUCCGGCCAAAGGCUGAGAAGCAUCUUCAAAAGAUGGUUGCUGCAAUUGCUUCGGGUCUACAAUCUGCAGUAGAUUUAAGCGACAUCGACUCUGACCAGAGUGGUGAGGAUGAUCCUCCUUCUCCCAAACGGAAGGAUACAAAGAAGAAGAAGGCUGAUCGGCUCACCGGCAUGUGUUUUAUGGCUCAUGAGGCUGAUGAGGAGAACGACAACACGGAUGAGGUACAAAUGUCUUAUGAUGAAUUAUAUGCUGAGUAUGUGAAAGUUGAAAAUCUGUUUUUAACGCAAGCAAAGGUCCUUAAAAAAUGCACGCGCACCAUAAAUGAUAAUCUUGCUCAAAUUGAUUCUCUCACACUAGAAAUAACUACUCUGAAGGAUGCUACUGCUAGUGUGCCUUCUCAUGAUAUUGAUGAUUGUGCUGGAUGUGAUAUGUUGCGUGCUAAAUUAGAACUUGCUAGGAAUACUCAUGCUAGUAUGUCACAACUGCUUGAAUCUGCUAGAAAUGAACUUGCUGAUGUUAAAUUGAGCCCUUGCUCCCUUUGUGUUGAAAAUACACCUAUGUAUGUUCCUAAAGUUGCAGACUGUGCAUGCCCAAACUGUGAUAAAUUAAAUGCUAGAAUUAAGAAUCUCGAACAGACACUUUUUGAUGCAGAGAAUCCUCCCUCUUGUUUGAAGUGCAAAUACUUUGAUGAUAGAGUUAAAAAGUUGAAUCAAAUGAUCCUAGAUGUGCGUGCUCCUGGAAAUUGUGUAAAUUGUCCUAAACUCGAAGAAGAAGUUGAGGAACUAGGAGCUCAUCUCAGUGAAAUCUAUAAGAAAUAUGAUCUUGUUAAAGCUUCAAAUUCAAAGAAACCUACUGAUUCUUGUGAUGCUUCUUCUAGUUCUGUUACUACUUGUACUUUCUGUACCAUACUUGAGAAUGAUCUUGUUGCUAUGCAUGAAGCAUUUCGGGUCAGGUUUGGCAAGGGUGUAGCAAAUCCUGUGAGUGUAGAUUGUGUCUCUUGUGAGGGAUUAAAACUUGAGAUUCAGGCCUACAAGGAUAGAUAUGGGAGAGUUGUGAGGGUGUCCUCCUUAAAAGAGUGUUUAUCGUGUGCUUCCUAUGCAAAAGAAGUAGCUUACCUCAAGAUGAUCCUAGAAAAGCUCUCAAGUGGUGAGAAAAGAUUAAACAUGAUUUUAGACAAGUCAAAGGUGAGUAAAGGUCUAGGAACAACCCUCCAGAACCCAUAGGCAUUCGAAGUGAUGGAGCUAUCUUGGUCCGUGAGGAUGAGAGAGCGACAGUUUUUCAGUCUGGGGGACUUUUGCCCACGAGUCCAAAUGACAAGGGUACUUCUCCUUCCACUGGUUCUCGUGCUGAAAAAGAGAGAAUAGUUUACCAGUGCACCUAUUGCCACAAGUCUAGACACCUUGUUGAGUUUUGCUUCAAAAAACUUAGAGAUGAACGUAGAUCUCGUGUUCAUGCACUUAGGGGCAUGCAACGACAGGCUCGUGCGCUGCAUGUUUCUAACACACAUGGUUAGAGUGAGUACCUGCAUGGCUCGGGUAGGAGAGACUAUUUUAAAUCCAACGAGACUACUUCCAGAGCCCGAUUUACUAGGGGUAGAGGUCAACAAAAUUGUAGGUAUCAAGAUGGCCUUGCAUUGCAUGCUAAUAACACAUGUAUUUCUGCUCCUGCAAAGGGAGUGACCCAGUACUGAAUUAAAAAAUGUUUACUUACUAAUCCCAGUACUGAGUCACUUCGUUGUCGCUCUUUUGUGUAGGUUGGUUUUGAGGGUUUGGCAAACAAGUGGCUUAUUGACUCUGGGUGUUCACGCCACAUGACUGGUGAUACUAAAUGGUUCGCCUCCCUCUGCAAAGCGUCUGGUGAUGAAAAGAUCACUUUUGGGAAUGAUGCACAGGGUUGCAUUGUGUCCAAAGGAACAGUGCGAGUCAACGAGAACUAUCUUCUCAAGGAUUUAGCCCUUGUAAGUAAGUUGAGUUAUAAUUUGAUUUCAGUUUCACAACUUCUUGAUGAGGGUUUUGAGGUUCGUUUCAAGAAAUCUGCUUCUCGUGUUCUUGACUCUACUGGUGAUCUUGUCUUUGGUAUUUCUCGUGUUGGUAAAAUCUUUGGUGCUGAUUUUGGAGUGCUUUUGUCCUCUGGUCCAUGAUGUUUUGUCGCCUCUUUGAACAUGAGCGAGUUUCAGUUGUGGCAUCGUCGUUUGGGGCAUGUUGGUUUUGAUCAUCUGACGCGAAUUGGCAGCCUUGAUCUUUUGCGAGGUUUGCCUAAGCUCAAAGCCACCAAGGAUAUUGUGUGUGCCCCAUGCCGACAUGGAAAGCAAGUCUCUGCUUCUCACCCUCCAAUCAAUCUGGUGAACACAACCAGACCCGCCCAAUUGCUACAUAUGGACACAGUUGGUCCAUCUCGGGUCCGGUCAGCUGGUAGGAAGUGGUACGUGCUUGUCAUCGUAGAUGAUUUUUCUCGAUACUCUUGGGUUUUCUUUAUGGAGCAUUAAUCUGAAGCAUUCAAUCAUUUUCAUGAUUUGGCUUUAAGGCUAUUCAAUGUAUUUCCUGGUGAGAUGAAAACUGUUCGUAGUGAUAAUGGUUUGGAGUUCAAAAAUUCUUCCUUUGCUGAUUUCCUUGCCGAGAGAGGAAUUGAGCACCAAUUUUCGUCUCCUCGCAUGCCUCAACAAAAUGGUGUUGUGGAAAGGAAAAAUAGAACUCUUGUGGAGAUGGCAAGGACCAUGCUCGAUGAAUUUGGCACACCAUGACGUUAUUGGGCUGAAGCCAUUAGUACAGCUUGCUAUGUGUCAAAUCAUGUUUUUCUGCGGAGUUCUUUGAAAGUGACCUCUUAUGAGUUGAGAUUUGGUAGAAAGCCUAAUAUUUCUCAUUUGCGGGUGUUUGGUUGCAAGUGUUUUAUCCUAAAGAAGGGCCUUCUCGACAAGUUUGAGUCGCGCACUUCUGAUGGUAUCUUUCUUGGUUACCCUGCUCACAUGAAGGGCUAUUGUGUUUUAAAUUUAGAAUCUAACCUUGUGGUAGAGACUUGCGAUGUAACUUUUGAUGAGGCUAGCCCAGCUAGACCCGAGUUUUCAGGUACACCACAAGUUCCCGAAACCUUAUUCGUUGAAGAAGAUAAUGAGGAUGGUGUGGGACAAGCCCCCAUAUCUCUUGCACCUGCCGCAGAACCUGCUACCACUUCUGUUCCACUGGAAGAUGGCCCUGUACCUAGUACUUCAUCUACAACAUCCGUACCCUCAACAUCGAUGACUCCUGAUCCUACCUCCACUUCAGCUGAGGUAGAGGCUACCACGACUACUUCCUCACCUGCUUCUGACGUCCUUCAGGGAUCUCUACGUCUUCAUCAUGCUCACCCACCAGAUCUGAUCAUUGGCAACAUCUCUGAGCGUACAUUGCGCUCCAGGUCCACUCAUUUAUCAGACUUUGCACAUACUGCAUUUGUUGCAUCUUUUGAGCCCCGAGAUGUUAGCCAUGCAUUAGAAGAUGAAAACUGGAUAAGGGCAAUGCAUGAGGAGUUAGAAAACUUUGAGAGGAACAAGGUCUGGCAACUUGUAAAAACCCCGUUUGACCAGAGUAUAAAUGUCAUUAGAACCAAGUGGGUUUUCAAAAAUAAACAGGGAGAGGGCGGCCAAGUUGUUCGCAACAAGGCUCGCCUAGUUGCUCAAGGUUAUUCUCAAAUUCAGGGUUUUGAUUUUGACGAGACCUUUGCACCUGUUGCACGGUUGGAGGCGAUACGUAUUUUACUUGCUUACUCUGCUUCCAAGGGUUUUAAGUUAUUUCAAAUGGAUGUCAAAAGUGCUUUUCUAAAUGGUUUCAUUGAUGAAGAAGUUUAUGUAAAACAGCCCCCUGGUUUUGAAAAUGAUAAGCUCCCAAACCAUGUCUAUAAAUUGCAGAAAGCUCUUUAUGGUCUUAAGCAAGCCCCUAGAGCUUGGUAUGAUAGACUCAAAGGGUUUUUGAUCAAGAAAGGUUUUAAAAUGGGUGAAGCUGAUAAGACCUUGUUCACUCUUAGGCAUCAUAAUGAACUACUCUUAGUGCAAAUUUACGUAGAUGAUAUCAUCUUCGGUGGAUCGUCUAAUGCUCUUUGUGCUAAGUUUUCCAAAGACAUGAGUGAUGAAUUUGAGAUGUCCAUGAUGGGUGAGCUGUCCUUCUUUCUUGGACUACAAAUCAAGCAAACAAAGCAGGGCACCUUUGUAUAUCAAGGCAAGUACACGAAGGACAUGUUAAAGAAGUUUGGGAUGAGCGAUUCCAAGCCACUCCAUACCCCAAUGUCCACUACCACAAUACUUGAUGUAGAUGAAAAUGGUGAGGUAGUGGACCAACGAGAAUACAGAAGCAUGAUUGGCUCACUACUGUACUUGACUGCAACGAGGCCAGACAUACAAUUUGCAGUGUGUCUGUGUGCUCGUUUUCAGGCUUCCCCAAGAGACUCCCACAAGCAAGCCGUCAAACGCAUUUUAAGGUACCUCCAAGGAACACCUGAUUUUGGCCUAUGGUUUUCUAGUUCUUCUGGUUUAGGAGUUAGGGGGUUCGCAGAUUCAGACUUUGGUGGGUGUAGAAUAGACCGCAAGAGCACUUCUGGCACUUGUCACUUUCUAGGUACUUCCCUUAUUUCUUGGUCUUCUAGGAAGCAAUCUAGUGUAGCACAAAGCACAGCCGAGGCAGAGUAUGUAGCAGCUGCGAGCAGUUGUAGUCAGAUUCUUUGGAUCUCAUCUAUUUUACAUGAUUUUGGGAUUUUCAUUUCUUCUGUUCCACUUUUCUGCAAUAACACUAGUGCGAUAAGUAUUGCUAAGAAUCCAGUCCAACACUCUAGAACUAAACACAUUGAACUGCGCUACCACUUCAUAAGAGACCAUGUGGAGAAAGGUGAUAUAGAGCUCCUGUAUGUUGAUACUGAGCAUCAGCUUGCUGAUAUUUUUACCAAACCUUUGGAUGUUAGUCGUUUUACUUCUUUGCGGGGAGAUUUGGGGGUCGUCGGCCCCUAUGGGAUCUUGUGAAGGGGGAGUUUGUGUUUUUUCUUCUUCUUUUGUUCAUAUGUAUCAUAUUGCACCUUGCAUCAUAUGUAAGAUACCUUUGAGCUUUGAUGAUUCUUUUGUUGAAGAAAUGUUCAUAAUGAAGUUGCUCUUGGCCAUGUUAUGCUUAUUGUCUAGCUCAUCCUGUCAUGGUUUGCCAUAUAUGGAUAACCCUUUGCAUGCUAGUUUUAAUUGGAAAUGAAGUUGAACUAAAUAAACAUGUUGACCAUAUGAUGAGUUCUAUGCUAGUUGAUCACCUUGACUUGAGAUCUACUUGUGCUUUGUAUUGCAACUCUGAUCUAUGUUCUGGCUAGCUAGUUUGGACUCCAUUUGAUAUCACACCUGGAACCACCAGAGACUUGUUUUGCUUAGACCUAUGUGGCUCGGGUCGGAUAUGGUCUACUUUCUUGUCAAGUCCCUAGUCUUGCUUUCAUGAGUUACUUUUUAUCUGCAUUUUUUUGUGAAGAAUCACUCAAGAUACCUGCUCGUGCAGGAGGUGGUAUUUUGCUUGUGCCUAUUCCAUACUUUCUUAAUCAAACCACUCAAGGUACCUGCUCGUGCAGGAGGUGGUACUUUGCUUGUGACUUAACAUAAAAUCAAAAUCAAAUCACUCAAGGUACCUGCUCGUGCAGGAGGUGGUACUUUGCUUGUGCCUUUUCAUAAAAUUUCUAAGUGCAUCAUUUUGUGCUGACUUAAUUACUCAAGGUGCCUGCUCGUGCAGGAGGUGGCACUUUGCUUGUGAGAUGGUCAGCACAGCGAGAAGGUUCCAUUUUUGAUCGGGUGUGCCUCCUAGUCAUUGGUUAGCGCUAGGUUGCAAUGCCUUGCAACGUUUAGUCUCUUUUCCAUGUGUUUGCCUACAUAAGAACUCAUCAUGUGUGAAAACUGAAGUUACUAAGAACUUGAAUGUCUUGCUGCAUCUAGCUCAAGGAUUUUCUCUAUAUGUCUUAGUAUGACUAGAUGAGCUCUUACUUAUCAUGGCCUAGUAGCAUUUCUAUCUCAUGUGCUUCAACUGAAUAAUCUUCAAUGCUCGUACAAUUGCAUAAAUUCCACUUCAUGCAUACAUGCUCUAUCUUAAUGUUUUCUCAUAUGCAUAAAUUGAGGGGGAGGGAUCUCCCUUGAUGCUUAUAGUGCCAAAGGGGGAGAAAUAGGACAGUGCACAUGUUGCAAAUUGAGUUUCAGUAUGUACACAAGUUGAGGGGGAGUCAGGGGGAGCCAUUGAUAUUAUUAUUUUUUCUCUUGGUUCUUUCCCUUGUGAACUUGUGAAAACAAGGUUGAUUUCUCUCUGAUGAGUUUUUGUUGAAAGUGAAGCUUUGGAUCCGGGUGUUAGCUUCACUCUCCACUUUGUCCACUUGGUAAUGUCUACAAUUUUUUUUCUUGGGACCAAGUGUGUUUUUGCAACUUUCCUUCUCUCUGUUAAAACUAAAACUCUAUUUUUUCUUGCUGAGAGUUGGGUUGGCAAUAUAAACAUCAAGGGGGAGAUUGUGAGUCCAUGUGGUGAUACCCUUAAUUUUGUGAUGAUUAUAUUGCCAAUGCUUUUGCUCACUUUGAGAGUUAUUUUAAUGAAGUUUGAAAAUCACAGUUUGUCGGAUCAAGGACAUGAUCUAUUUUAUGUGACUUAUCUGGAUGGUGUUGAUUGUAUUAAACUGUUAAUUUGGAUUGACUUGGAUCAAGCUCAGGAAGUUUGUGCUCGCAAUAGUUGCUUGUUUCCAUUGUGUGCAGGUUCCAGUGAGUGCGGCGGUAGUCGACAACGAGGAUGGUUGGCAUGAUGUGACCAUGGACGCUGUGCGGGAUCGUGCGGCUCAAAGCAACGCACAAGUUUUGGACAAGGACUAUAUGGAGGCAAAGGAGAAGACCAUGUCAAGUGAAGGUUAUUUUGGUAUGUUUACCAAAAUCCACUAACAAGCAAACCAAGAGAGUGAUUGUGGUGUUGCUUAAGAGUGGAAAAUGUUAUUUACAAGUGGCUAAGUAAAAUGGCUAUUUCUUUUAGUGUUUUGGGCUUGGCCCAUUCGGUGGGAACCAUGACCCAUUCAAUGGUGGUGGAAGGCUGAUCCAUCCUUAUAUAUGAGCUGCUAGGUUUUUCCUUGUGGGCACGAAUAGAGGAGCCGCCGCUACGAGGAGAAAAACAGAGCAGCCGCCGCACAUUUGAGAUAGAGCUUCCUAUGUGGGAUUUAGCCUAUGUGAGAGAGGCUUGUAACUCGAGAAAUCUGAGAAAUAAAUCCUCAAAUUGUUCCCAGCCUUACUAUUGUCGAGGUCUGUUGUUUGUCCUUGCAAAUCUCGUUUUUCUGCUGUACUAAUUUUGUCCCUGUGAUUCCUUGGCUAUAAUGGGGUUUCCUUGAUGGAAAAUCAUGUCUAAAUUCAUGUGCAUCCAUCCCUAGCUUUGAAUCUGGUUGUUAUUCAUUUAUUCAUGGGUUCUUGAGGAUGGCGCAGGAGUUUAUCUUUCGUGAUUUAUUUUGUGCAAGUUCAUACUGAGUUCUUCCCCUGUUUUUGAUUCAAUUUGAGGUCGCAGUAGUUUCUAGGGAAGUUCUUGUAUGCGUGGUGGAAGGGAAGAGCACCUGCUGUUCUCUGUCUCGCCGCCGGGAGCGACCGUCUUAGGAUUCAGUUUAUCCUCUUCUAGCUGUUGUGUGACUUCCAAAUAGCAGAAUUGGUUUGUGCAAUUUUGCAGAGGUAUAAUCGUGGUUUUCAGUUGUUGCUAGUCUUGCAGCUCUAUGCGCUACAGGUGACUAGAGUUCCUGACAAGUGAAAUCAGCUCCAGGCAGUGUAGUUCUUCUCCAUUGAAAAAGU
rnacentral:lncRNA from 1 species